rnacentral:tRNA from 1 species
GUGGCGGGUAGUUUAGUAGUAGAACAAACGAUGAGUCUAAGCGGUCAAGGUAGCUCCUUGAUGUCAUGCAUUCCGUAUGAGGGAGACACAGGUGCAAAUCCUGUUCCGCCACA